UCCCUGGAUCACUAGUGGUUAGACCACAGCGCUCUCACCCCUGUGGCCUGGGUUCAAUUCCCUGUCAGGGAA